GUCUAGCUGACAAGACCCAGAUAAGACGAAACGCGCGUCCUGGAU
rnacentral:hammerhead_ribozyme from 1 species